rnacentral:rRNA from 1 species
GGCGAACGGGUGCGUAACACGUGAGCAAGCUUCCGAUUUGUGGGGGAUAGCCGGCCCAACGGCCGGGUAAUACCGCAUACGUUCAUCGAGCGGCAUCGCUUGGUGAGGAAACCUCCGGGGCAAAUCGAGGUGCUCGCGGCCUAUCAGCUAGUUGGUGAGGUAACGGCUCACCAAGGCGACGACGGGUAGCCGGCCUGAGAGGGCGACCGGCCACACUGGGACUGAGACACGGCCCAGACUCCUACGGGAGGCAGCAGUGGGGAAUAUUGGGCAAUGGAGGAAACUCUGACCCAGCGACGCCGCGUGCGGGAUGAAGGCCUUCGGGUUGUAAACCGCUUUCAGUAGGGAAGAAGCGAAAGUGACGGUACCUGCAGAAAAAGCACCGGCUAACUACGUGCCAGCAGCCGCGGUAAUACGUAGGGUGCAAGCGUUGUCCGGAAUUAUUGGGCGUAAAGAGCUCGUAGGCGGUUUGUCGCGUCUGCUGUGAAAUCCCGAGGCUCAACCUCGGGCCUGCAGUGGGUACGGGCAAACUAGAGUGUGGUAGGGGAGAUUGGAACUCCUGGUGUAGCGGUGGAAUGCGCAGAUAUCAGAAGAACACCGAUGGCGAAGGCAGAUCUCUGGGCCAUUACUGACGCUGAGGAGCGAAAGCGUGGGGAGCGAACAGGAUUAGAUACCCUGGUAGUCCACGCCGUAAACGUUGGGAACUAGAUGUAGGGUCCAUUCCACGGAUUCUGUGUCGCAGCUAACGCAUUAAGUUCCCCGCCUGGGGAGUACGGCCGCAAGGCUAAAACUCAAAGGAAUUGACGGGGGCCCGCACAAGCGGCGGAGCAUGCGGAUUAAUUCGAUGCAACGCGAAGAACCUUACCAAGGCUUGACAUAUACCGGAAAAGCAUAGAAAUAUGCUCCCCGCAAGGUCGGUAUACAGGUGGUGCAUGGUUGUCGUCAGCUCGUGUCGUGAGAUGUUGGGUUAAGUCCCGCAACGAGCGCAACCCUCGUCCUAUGUUGCCAGCACGUAAUGGUGGGAACUCAUGGGAGACUGCCGGGGUCAACUCGGAGGAAGGUGGGGAUGACGUCAAAUCAUCAUGCCCCUUAUGUCUUGGGCUUCACGCAUGCUACAAUGGCCGAUACAGAGGGCUGCAAUACCGCAAGGUGGAGCGAAUCCCAAAAAGUCGGUCUCAGUUCGGAUUGAGGUCUGCAACUCGACCUCAUGAAGUCGGAGUCGCUAGUAAUCGCAGAUCAGCAACGCUGCGGUGAAUACGUUCCCGGGCCUUGUACACACCGCCCGUCAAGUCAUGAAAGUCGGUAACACCCGAAGCCAGUGGCCUAACCGCAAGGAAGGAGCUGUCGAAGGUGGGAUCGGUGAUUAGGACUAAGUCAUAACAAGGUAGCCGUA